UGACAAUGGAGUCUCUAGAGACAAAAGUGGU
rnacentral:piRNA from 1 species